GACGAACGCUGGCGGCGUGCUUAACACAUGCAAGUCGAACGGAAAGGCCCUGCUUUUGUGGGGUGCUCGAGUGGCGAACGGGUGAGUAACACGUGAGUAACCUGCCCUUGACUUUGGGAUAACUUCAGGAAACUGGGGCUAAUACCGGAUAGGAGCUCCUGCUGCAUGGUGGGGGUUGGAAAGUUUCGGCGGUUGGGGAUGGACUCGCGCCUUAUCAGCUUGUUGGUGGGGUAGUGGAUUACCAAGGCUUUGACGGGUAGCCGGCCUGAGAGGGUGACCGGCCACAUUGGGACUGGGAUACGGCCCAGACUCCUACGGGAGGCAGCAGUGGGGAAUAUUGCACAAUGGGCGGAAGCCUGAUGCAGCAACGCCGCGUGCGGGAUGACGGCAUUCGGGUUGUAAACCGCUUUCGCCUGUGACGAAGCGUGAGUGACGGUAAUGGGUAAAGAAGCACCGGCUAACUACGUG
rnacentral:rRNA from 1 species